AUUAACUGUUGUGAUAACUAUCUUCCUAAUUGUUUUUAAAAUUGUUUUGAAUCACAAUGGAAAUAGUAUAACAACAACCGUAGUCCACUUGUCCCAUAAAGCAGUGUGUUUCUCUGUGAGGUUAAACAUCACAAGGUAAAUAUAAUAAAUAUUAAGUUUUGACGAAGAUACAUAAUAUGGCAAACAUAUAAAUAAGAUAUAAAUAGAUUGUUCAAUGUUUUCUUCUUCUAGAACGUUAAGGAUGUACUUCAGGUUGAGUUUUUUUUGGUCAAAUGUAAUAACUCUUUGUUUUUCCCCUUAUAAAAUACAAGGUAAAAACCUUUGCCCUAUAACAUCCAUUUUCUUUUCCUAUAAGUCUCGAAAAGCUCAUAAAAGGUCUUUAAAAAAUAAAGGGACAUUCAAAUUCUCAUAUUUGAUUAACAUACUAAAACGUAUAUCCAUUUUUUUUAAUAUAAAAUAAACAAUUUACACUUGGCAUGCGCUCGAUAUUAUGUUUCACUUUCAUUGAUGGUUGAACCAAAAAUAAUCAUAUUUUUUAUUUCUUUUCUUUCAAUGUGCGACCAAAAAUGAAUAAUACCAAUGCAACGGGGAUAGAUCGAUAGUAAAUUUAUCUUCGCUAUCCAAGGUUUACGAUCGACUUGGAGAGGAGCGAAGUAGAUCGUAACCCUUGGUUAGUGAAGAUGUAGUAAAUUAUAUGGCGUCUAUACUAAAAUACACACGAAACGAUAAUACAUAUUAUCGAGUCCAUGCCUGCGAAUUGUUUUUUUUUUUUUUUUUUACUUUUUAUAAUUUCGAUAUACGCUUUAGUAUGAUAUAAAUCAAAUAUGAGAAUUUGACUUUAUUCGAUGUACAUGAAUUUGACAGCCAAUGUCUCUUUAAUUUAUGCUCUUUUGAUUAAAAGUAUCGAGAAUACUGAAUUCCAGAUUUUAAAAAUUUUCAAACAUAAGUACAUCCUUAAGAUUCACCCAGUGAUUUAACGCUAUAUCUCUCAUUUCGCAAUUUUAGUCAAAGUUGAUGACAAUGCUACACACUUAAGUCACGUUUCAAUGCCCUCUUGGGAUCAAUAGAUUUUGAUUGUCAACAUCAUAACUUGUUUCGAGCAUUGAACCAGUUUUAGAAACAUUCUAUCUGUAUCACAGUCAUGUCUGUUCUAAUAAAAGAUUCUCAUGUUGGGCCUGCUUUUUGCCUGUAUUAAAUCACAAACGGGCGUGACUGUAUAUUUAUUUACACAUCGUACAAAGAAAAUAUUCUACUGACGUUUAUAAUUGAAAAUGAUGAUGAAAGGGAAGCAAAUGAUACUUAUAACCAUAAUGUCUGUGAUAACUGUACUGUUUUGCAUUAUAAAGAAACACAACUUAUAACCAAAUAUUAUAAUGGAUAAAGCUUUACGUGAUGUACACCCCAUAAAAACCCAACCCUCUCAGUCUCGAAAUGAAUAAAAACAAAUAUUUCGAAGGGACUACAUAGAACCGGCUCCUAAUGUCAACCCAAAUAGCUUAAAUGACAAAAAACAUUCAUAUAUUGCUAGAGGCAUUCAUGGUGAAGUAACUUACUUGAGAACAAAUAUACAUUUAUGUUUGCAACAAACAAACAAACACUCGAAAACACCCAAAGUACCUUUAAAUGUUUAACAAGAUUCCUUUCUAAAAAACAUGAAUAUCUAGUUGUGUUUGUCAAUGACAGUACUUUUUUUUUACCGCACAGAACUUGAAAAUAAGUCAAUCAAUUUUUAAGAAAGACAAUAUUUCAACGAAAAGACAAACAUUUUCACCACCAGGAAACGACGAUGCACUGAAGUUUUCUUUACAUAUCAAUUAUAACUCGGAUUAUUGAUCGUCAAAAUAAUCCCCCUUCUAUUUUAAAAUGUGUAACGUCACAAUUUAAAGUUUGUUGUCAGUGGGAGUAAACUUAGGUAAACGGACAGAAAGUCACAGGACAAAAAGUCACAAACAAUCUGUCAAUGGACGUCGCGUACGGUGUUGGUGAUAAUUCGGAUUUUGCUUUCCAGUUCGUCUUUAUUGCAUUUGUUAGAAGUUUCGGAAUUGAUAACUAUAUAAAUGUAUAUAUCAAAAUAUGCGUAAUUAAAAGUAGAAAUGGAAUGCCUUAAGAUCAAUAUUUUAUUCAUUUUGUCAUCGAAUAUCCCUAAUAACACCGAUUUGAGCGUGUAGACAAGUAACACCGCGACAUAUGAUCAGCGUUGCUUUGAAGUUAUUCUGGAAUUGAUAACUAUAUAAAUGUAUAUAUCAAAAUGUGCGUAAUUAAAAGUAGAAAUGGAAUAUGCCUUAAGAUCAAUACUUUUAUUCAUUUUGUCACUCGAAUGAUCCCUAAUAAUACUGAUUUUGAGCGUGUAGACAAGUAACAUAUGAUCAGCGUUGCUUUGAAGUUAUUCUUGUCAUUUUUUAAACUUAUUAAAAAAAAGUUGUACUCCUAGCAAGAGUAGUCUUUGGUUAAGUGUAUGUUUAUUUAUGACGUCAUGUUAACUGAGCGUCUGACCAGGACGAAAAGUUCACUUUGUUUUGGUCAAGGAAAAUAGAAAAAAUAUGAAUAGGGUGAAGUUAAGAGUGAUUUUAAAAAGGUAUUCAAAUAGACUAUUCGAGAAAAUGAUAUAUCUUUUUAUUAUUAUUAAUAAGGGAAAAAAAUAAAAAGUUUUGUUGACACAUUUCAAAAGAUCGUGGCAGAAAAUGAUUUUGAAAUUUGUGUUUCUGUCACAAACCAAAUCUCGCAUUUUUUUUUGGAACUCUUCAAAAUUCAACGAAUGCUGCAGAUCCAAACCAGAAUUUACAUAUCUACCCGUCCUUUGUCAAAAUUAUACAAUAAAUAUACAACUUUCUAUGUCUUCAAUUAGUAAGUAUUGUUUAAAUUAUGUCCUACAAUUUUCAUUUUAUUAAAUCCGUUGAAAAACACUCGCCGUUUUCUGACGUUUUGGCGUAUUUGUUAAGUGUCUUAUGAAAGUAAUAGGCAGUUUGCAGUCUUUUCUACGAUAUGAAAUUUUUAUUCAACGUGAAAACAUUUUUUUAAGUGUAUGAAAAAAAAAUGUGUUUGAGUUUUAAGAGAAAAUAUUGAAAAAAAAAAAAAUAAACGCGAUCUUUUUGUUUUUGUCUAGUCAAAAUGUCACAAAACGCCGUUUUUUAAUUUUCGUUACAAGUAUGAUAAGUCAUAUUAUACAGUUUUGGAGGGGGAAGAUUUGAAAUUAUAAUAGAACAAAAAGUACUAUAUAACAUUAAAAUCUACUGUUCAGGGAUUUUUUUGAACCCAUUUUCGACCACAUGUCGGAAGUAUUAACGACACAGUCAGCGACUACUUUUGUCUAGUCAUAAUGUCACACCAUGCUUUUUUACUUGUUUUGACGUUACUUCUGUAAAACUUGACAUGUAGUGCCUAACGUCGCAAAUUACGAAAGCCUUUACGUGCCAGGCUAAUUAAAUUUUUCCAAUUUGAUAUAACGAAUUAUGAAUUCGAUAUAACAGAUUAUGAAUUUGAUAUAACAAAUUCAAUUUGAUAUAACAGAUUGUCAAUUUGGUUAACAAAUUAUGAAUUCGAUAUAACAGAUUAUCAAUUUGAUAUAACAAAUUCAAUUUGAUAUAACAAAUUAUCAAUUUCAAAUUUGAAUUUGAUAUAACAAAUUAUCAAUUUGAUAUAACAAUUAUCAAUUAUGAACAAAUUAUCAAUUAGACAAUAACAAAUUGUCAAUUUGAUAUAACAAAUUGUAUGAUUUAAUUAUAAUAAUGAGAAUGAUUGAAACAUUGCGUAACCCAAAUUGGCGCAUUUAUUUGUGUAUUGAUUCAUUGUUUAUCUGACGUCCAGCGACAAAUAUGUCAUUGAAUGCUUAUUCAAAACUUUCUUAACAGGUUUAUUGUUUCUGAAACCCUCUCCCUCCCCUUUUAUCUAUUAUUUGAGGCAGUUUGGGGGACUAGUUUGAACGUUCUCAAUUCAGUACAUGGGACCUGGUGUCUUAGAACGAACGAUUAUAAUAGAAAAACUUCGGGAUCAAUUUAUAAAUACAAUUGUUUGAACAUAUAAGAGAAAUAUCUUGAAAUAUUUACUUUUGAAUACAUAUAUUCAUAUAAAAGUUUAGGAAAUGUGUCAUUAUACUUGAAAAAUGAAGAUUUAUUUAAUUCUAAUCAUGCAAAAGAAAAAUUUCUUGGCAUCAUGAAACCAUUUUAGUGCCAAGCCACUUUGACAUUUUGUUGUUUUUAACAAUUAUCAUCUUUGAUAUUUUUUUGAUAAAUUUUAUUUACAAAGUUGGUUUAUAUACAAUAGUUCAAGAAAAAUACAAAAAUAUUUUUGUAGAAAUAAGUGUUUUGUAUUCAAAGAAAAUAAUCAGAAAAAAUGAAUUGUGACUUUUUGUCCUGUGACUUUUGUCCGUGACUUUUUUUCUGUGACUUUUUUGUCCUGUGACUUUCUGUCCUACAUUCUAAACUUAUAGGGGUCAAUUUGAGGAAAGUACCUUAUUGAUAUUUGUCUGUAUAACAACACAUUCAAUGUAUUUCUGCACACAUGAAAAUCAUAUUAAAUACUCUUUUUAAUAUGAUUUAGGUAAAUACAACGUUAACUCAAACAAGAUGAAAAUAUUCAAGAUUCUGUGCACAAUACUGUUGAUGUUGAUGGCAGUUUUAGCGGGAACAGCCAGUGGACGGCAUGCAUACGACAAAAGAAUCAAAAGAGAUGCUAACGGCAACAAAUUGGGAAGAAGUAGACCCGGUUCUACCAAACGACUUCGAAAAGAAAGCACUGGGUGAGUAGUUAAUCUUGUUGACUCGAAGAAAAUGACGUCUGAAGAUUUAGGAACAAUAACUACAGAAUCAGUUUAAAACACUUAUGCAUGGGUUAAAUAUAUAAAACGUAUGUAAUUAGCAUUCCUGAACCAACUGUUGACUCGGAAUUACAGUGUCGUACGUUCAUUUGCCUGAUAUACAAAACAUUUUAUAUAUAAUUUUUUUUAAAGAAACAAUAUAGUCCCAAAAUGGCGGAGUUAAGACAUGCCGUAAUAACCAAGAACAGAUCAACAUUGUUGUCGUACAAAAUACAACAGUAAAUAAGUCAUAUAAAGAUUUUGUGCGAUGUAGUUAACAUUUUGUAUUGCAUAUUAUUUGUUUCCAUUUCAUACUGACAUUUUACAAUGACGCGAGUGCGGUUGACAAAUUUGAUGGAUAGCAGUAGUUAGAUAAAUGUCAAUUGUGAUCGAACUAUAUAUCUUAUAAUUUAUCCCGUUUCUCAGUUCAACAAAUUGAAACCAUUCAUAACAUUUAAAAUGUUUCGAAAAUAAAAAUAUAUCAUCUUUCCGAUUAAAAGGUAAUUUUAUUUUACUAUAGAAUAAUCAAUUUGAUAUGCGAUAUCGUCAACAGUAAAAUUUUUCUGACCAGAUGCACAUUUUGACAUUACAGAAUACACAAAUCUUUCAUUAUUUACUACUAAUAUGAAUUUGCUGUAAUAGUAUUUAUAUAACGUCCGUGAACUGAUUUACUGGAGUACCACACAAAACGUACGUUCUAAAUAAGACAACUAUUUUUUUCAGGUGCAAAGAGAUGAGAGGAUCAGUAACACAACGGACUAGAACUUUUAUAAUCAUAUUGGUGGAUUUGGUCUCUAUAUUAACGUUUCUGUAUUUGUCAUAUUUCUUUAUAUCAUGUAAAUCAUAAUUCUACUUCCAAAACAUUAUAUUGUGUUACUUGAAAAAAAUAAAUCAUUUGCCUUCAAAGAAUUGUAUAAUCUUUAACUUUAUGUGAUAGGUUCUGUUGACAGUUUCAGACUUGAUUUUUCCUUUAAUCUGACUAAGAGGAAAUAACACAAUAAAGGUCAGCUACAAAGGUUCGCCAUUUGAGAAUUGUGAUAAAAGUAAAACCAACGAUAUUAAAUAUUUUUAAUAAUUAUAUGAUUUAUUUAAUUGUUCAAUAACUCCAUAUCUAAAAGAAAACAUUUGAGGCAGCGUGACAAUAUAAAGAAAACAUGAUAUAUAUUUAUAGCAGGAGGCAAUUACCCUGUCGACGCGACAGUCUCAUUCCAUUUGAAGUUAUCUUAUGUCACCUUGAUAUAUCCUGAGAAAAAAAUGAUGGAUACAUUGUGAUACUUUCCGAGAUGUGAUAACAUUCAAAGUUACACCAUAAACACGGAGAACUGUUUGUUAUUGCUUAAGUUAUGAG
rnacentral:lncRNA from 1 species